UUUCUCUGCUUGGGCAGAACUCAUCUAUUUGUACUUCUCCAACAAAUACAUAUGCAUCCAUUAUUUCCAGAGAAGAGAGGAAGGGAAGUACAGGACAGUGAUUCUUAGCAGCAGAUGUGUAAGGGGCCUCAGACUGUUUCUCGUGUGCGAGUUAUCAACUGCAAGGAAACCAGAAUGGUGAGAAAGGAACCAAGGCAUCAAUGGAUAGCACAGUUAGCUUAAAAUGGCAAUCAUUUUAUAUGGACCUUGUUAGAAUGAACCAAUAAUGAUCCCGAGGGCUAAAGGGAGAUGAGGGACUUUAGAGGAUCCAGGAACCUUCUAAAAUGGUAUAUACAAUUCUGUGUGUGCCUGUGUAAACUUUUCUUUUUUCUUUUUUUUCUUUGAGACAGCUCUGUUGCCCAGGCUGGAGUGCAGUGGUGCCAUCUCGGCUCACUGCAACCUCCACCUCCUGGGUUCAAGGAAUUCUCCUGCCUCAGCCUCCUGAGUAGCUGGGAUUACAGUACGAAUGUCGAAUGUCACCGAGUUGGAACCAUUGUAAGAUACCUCAU
ensembl:lncRNA INTS9-AS1 INTS9 antisense RNA 1